GAAGGUACAGCUCAGUGGUAGAGUGCAUGCCUAGUAUGUUUAAGAUCCUGGGUUAAAUCCUCAGUACCUCCA
rnacentral:tRNA from 1 species